CUCGCAAUAGCUCAGUGGUAGAGCGGGAGACUGUAGAGUUUGCUGAUAUCUCUAGGCCGCUGGUUCGACUCCAGCUUGCGAGA
rfam:Anncaliia algerae PRA109 cont4.4101, whole genome shotgun sequence.